CGCCCAGCCAGAGCAGGGGGAUCGGCAUGCUGCCAACGUCCGCCUCGUCAUAAACACAUGAAGCCCCAAAAAGAAACUGAGCAAAUAUUUCCUAAGUUGCAACUUUCUGGGCCCUCUGAAUUGCAGAGAAGACCUGAAGAGCCUUGUGAGGAGUACAGAGCCACUAAAAGGAGUAAGAAAUAUUUCCAACAUGAAAGGCGCCUUUUCUACUUGCAUCAUAUGUAUAAUCUUGCCUUUCUUAAUAUGGCAUUGUCCAGGAGGUCA